rnacentral:rRNA from 1 species
GCUAACUUCAAUACCAUGUUGAAUACACCGGUUUUCGAUCGGUUACCGAAGUCAAGCAAUAUCGGGCGUGGUCAUUACUUGGAUGGGUAACCGCCUGGGAACAUUACGUGAUGCUGCCU